CGGGCCGUCGUAUAAUGGUAGUACGCAUGGCUGGGGGUCAUGCAGCCCGGGUCCGAUUCCCGGCGGCCCGA
rnacentral:tRNA from 1 species